GUUUGAUCAUGGCUCAGAACGAACGCUGGCGGCAGGCCUAACACAUGCAAGUCGAACGCCGUAGCAAUACGGAGUGGCAGACGGGUGAGUAACGCGUGGGAACAUACCCCUCGGUUCGGAAUAACUCAGGGACACUUGAGCUAAUACCGGAUACGUCCGAGGUUUUAAUCGACCUCGGANAAAGAUUUAUCGCCGGAGGAUUGGCCCGCGUCUGAUUAGCUUGUUGGUGAGGUAAUGGCUCACCAAGGCGACGAUCAGUAGCUGGUCUGAGAGGAUGAUCAGCCACAUUGGGACUGAGACACGGCCCAAACUCCUACGGGAAGCAGCAGUGGGGAAUAUUGGACAAUGGGCGAAAGCCUGAUCCAGCCAUGCCGCGUGAGUGAUGAAGGCCUUAGGGUUGUAAAGCUCUUUUACCCGGGAAGAUAAUGACGGUACCGGGAGAAUAAGCCCCGGCUAACUUCGUGCCAGCAGCCGCGGUAAUACGAANGGGGCUAGCGUUGUUCGGAAUUACUGGGCGUAAAGCGCACGUAGGCGGAUCUUUAAGUCAGGGGUGAAAUCCCGAGGCUCAACCUCGGAACUGCCUUUGAUACUGGGGAUAUCGAGUCCGGGAGANGUGAGUG
rnacentral:rRNA from 1 species